rnacentral:misc_RNA from 1 species
GAAAUGCGAUAAGUAGUGUGAAUUGCAGAAUUCAGUGAAUCAUCGAAUCUUUGAACGCAGAUUGCGCCCCUCGGUAUUCCGUGGGGCAUGCCUGUUCGAGCGUCAUCUACACCCUCAAGCUCUGCUUGGUGUUGGGCGUCUGUCCCGCCUCCUUCGCGCGCGGACUCGCCCCAAAUCCAUUGGCGGCGGCCCUUGCCUCACUCUCGCGCAGCACAUUGCGCUUCUCGAGGCGCGGCGGACCGCGUCCAGCAAGCAACCGUCACACCGUCUUUGACCUCGGAUCAGGUAGGGAUACCCGCUGAACUUAAGC